UAAAUUUAAUAACAUCAUGCAUGGAAAGUGCCCAGCACAAUUCCUGGUGUAGUGUACAUUCUCAGUAAAGCAUGGUCUCAGAUUUUACGUCUGUCAAAUCAUUGUAAUACUAUACUAUCAAAAUAUUUUAUAUUUAAGUCGUAAAUAGCAGUCUCCUCAAAUUCUAUCAUUCAUGUACCACUUUUGGGGUUUUGCCAUAUCUGUGCACCAAUGGUACUAAUAUUACUUAAUAUUUUUCUUUAACUGUACUCAUCUUUGAAAAAUGUAGCAUUUAUUUUAGUUGGUUUCAGGAAAAUUAGCAUAUUAUCCAUGAACUUGGGAGUAGUUGUACUGGUGAAUCUAGUAUGUUUAAAAAUCAAUACAUAAUUAUUAAAAUAGAAAACUAUGGCCACAUGCCCCCUGAAAUAAUCUCAUGAACCACCAUUGUAUGCCUACUACACUUUGGAAAACACUCAUUUACGUGAAAGUUUGUUAUUAUUAUAUUUUCAACCUUUCCUUUUCAGGACUUGGAAGCUAAGGCCCAGAGAGGAGGAGAAACUUGAUCAAAGUCAAUCAGACAAUGCAGAAUCGAGAAAAGUACCUGGACCUCUAUGCCCAUGCUUCUAGCAGCCAGCCUCCUAAAAUACCUCUAGUUGAAGCCAAAGUUAGAAUCCUUCUACGAAACUACAGGAUUAAAAUGGAAUGGUUACAUGACCCAGGCUUGACCAAUCAGAUCAUCCAAACCCUUUGCCACAGUGAUUGGUCCAGGGAUACAUGCAUGAGCCAGCUCAGGUAAAUGAGACUCAAUUAUAAGAAUUUUGUUAGCGCAAUUGGGAAAAAGAAGUUUUCUUUCCAUGAGAACUAUCAGCUAUAAGAAUGUUGGAUGCUUCCAUCUGCUGGAGUCCAUGAAGA
rnacentral:lncRNA from 1 species